AAUCAACCCUAGGCGGAAGAAACCCACAAUCCAAUGCUCUGUACUCUUUUCUUUGGCGGCCCCCUGAUCGGGGUGCUAUCAAAUGUAAUAUAGAUGGGGCUUACCAACAGGGAUGUAACAAGGGAUCAAUGGCGUGCAUCAGUAGGGAUUUCAAGGGCAGACUCACCGAUGUUUAUUCUGCAGACUUUCCAGCGAACUCGGCGCUUCAAUCUGAGGUGCAAGCCCUCGCUUUUACCCUUCGGCAUCUGCAGCAGAAGGAACUCCACAAAGCUCGCUUGGAAGUUGAAUCUGAUUGCUGGAUCAUGGUGGAUAUAUUGAACCGGAACACACCACCUCCAUGGCAGGACAGACCGCUCUUCGAAGAGGUGAAGACGCUCCUCCUUUCGUGCCCUAAUCUGCACCUGAGACAUUGUAGGAGAGAGACAAAUUCAGUGGCUGACUGGGCCGCGAAGGCCCAUGGCCGCCAAGACCUUUCCCCAGAUUGGAAUCUAUUUCCCCCUUUUUUGCUUUUAGAUCUGGUGAAUGCAGACGCUGUUGCAAGUGGAUGUAAUAUGGAACCGCCUUAAUAUAUAUCUUUCUUCCUGACCAAAAAAAAAAAAAAAAACUAUCAAAACUCCAUGAUUUGUCAGUUUAACAACUUUUAAAUUUAACCUAGCAGCUUAGAAAUCACAAUAAUCUGAAAUUCGGGCUGGUCUUCAAAAAAUCCGUUCGAUUAGAUGAAUAAAAGACUUACCGAAAGUUAUGAAUCGAAGAAAAUCCGAUUGCGUGAACUCUCCGAGGCAUCUAUGCAUGAACAUUUUCCUUUCUCUUUCCUUUUGCAUCUCCCUUCUUUCUU
rnacentral:lncRNA from 1 species